AUUUUAUCAAUAAGAAAAAUGAAAACAAAAAGAAACAUACAUUCCUGGAAUUCAACUGGACUAAUGAUUGUUAUUUCCUGCUGUGAACUUAAGCAUCGCCAUUGGCUUCAAGAAACGGGUAAUCAGUGUAACCAAUGACUGGAUCUGAGGUGUAGAAAGUAUUUCUGUCAUACUUAUUAAGAGGGGCAUUAAGCUCAAAUCGCCUCGGCAAAUCAGGAUUUGCCAAAAACAAUCGACCAUAAGCAACCAGAUCCACACGGUUUUCAGCCACAGCUUUGUUUCCAUCUUCUUUGGUGUAGCCCCCGGCAGCAAUGAAAGUGCCAUUGAAAGCUUUUCUCAUAGGCAGAAGAGUAUGAGGACAUUCACUUACAUCUCCCAUCAUUUUUAACCUUGGCUCGAUCAUGUGGCAGUAGAGAAUUCCAUAUUUGUUCAAGGCCUCAACCAUGUAGAGAGCUAAUGCUUUUGGAUCAGAGUCUACUGCUUCAAUAAAGUCUGUAAAGGGAGAUAACCUUAUUCCAACUCUAUCUGCACCUAUUUCAUUGGCAACAGCUUCAACUAUCUCUAAUGCAAAUCUGCAACGGUUCUCGAGUGAUCCACCGUAUUCAUCUGUUCGAUCAUUCACUUGAUCUUUCAAAAACUGGUCUAUAAGGUACCCAUGAGCUCCAUGAAUCUCAACCCCAUCAAAACCUAUAAAUCAGAAGGUAAAAUUAGCAUUCUAAGAAAGUAGGACAUCAAAAGGGAAGCAUUUAUUGUUCCAUUAUGUCUGGAAGAAUUUGAGAAUCCUCAAAAUAUUUGUUCACAAUCUAGGAGAAAAAAACUUACCAGCUUCCAUAGCAUUCCUUGCUGCAGUUCUGAAAUCAUUGACAAUUUGAGGGAUUUCAUCUGUCCUUAAUCGCCUAGGAGGUGAGAACUGAGCAACAUCCACUCCAUUGGCUCGAAUUUGUGGUGUCAAUGACUUGUCUGUAGAAGAGAUUGGAGCUUGUCCAUUUGGCUGAAAACCUGUACGUAUAUAGACAUUGACAAGGGAUAAGAAAUUAGUUGGGCCAAUGUCAUCACAUGAAUAUGGGAAUAAAUAUUAAGCAUAUAAUUCCAUCAUAGAAUCAGAAGAGAAGACAUAAUGGAUGUCUAAGGCAAGAACUGACCGUAGUUUGAAACCCUUCCAACAUGCCAAAUCUGACAAAAGAUAAUUCCACCUUUGGCAUGAACAGCAUCAACAAUGGGUUUCCAGGCCUCAACUUGCUCUUUUGUCCAUAUACCAGGUGUAUGGGCGUACCUUCAUAAAUUAGAAAGAAACAAUUAAAGAAAGUCUCAUUAAAUUAGUUUUUGAGGUAUAAAAAAAUGUAAAAUUUUAACUGUUUAAGUAGUUGCGGUACAUAUGUUAUCUUUUUUAUUUAAAAAAGAAACAGGUUUAAAAAUUACCCUUGAGCCGUGUCAGAAACUCCAGUAGCUUCAGAGAUCAUAAAACCUCCUCUGGAAGUUCUCUGGGAGUAGUAUAGAAUGGCAUGUGGUUGAGGAACAUUAUUGUAAGAUCUUUGUCUUGUCAAAGGUGCCAAUACAACUCUGAGAAAAAAGGAAGAAAAAGAAAGAGGUAAAUGAUAGAGUAAGUUAUUUAUGCAUCAAAAUUUCCCAGGCGAAGAACAAAGUGAUGCACAUAGUCAGCCAAUUACCAUUGGUUUUCCUAAUGAACAACAUUCAAGUUAUGCAAACUUGGAUUUUUCAACUAAUCAACUAGCUAUGGCUUGACAAAGAAAAACAAUAUGCUGACGGGGAUUAUCCAAAAGUUAUACAAAUAUCUACUUGGACGAAAGUAAAAGUUGUGCUAUGAAAAAUGCAGGAAAAUUUAUGCCUUUAUUACCUAUGAGAAAGAUUGAAUUUGCCAAAUUUGUAGGGAGUGAGAAGAGGUUGAGUGGUGAUAUUUUCUUGCUGUUGUUGUUGGGUUUGCUUUUUGCCUUCCAUAUCUGAAACUAACUGAUUUGCUUGCCUUUGGCUUUGGAUAUGUAGUUGAGCAGCAGUGCAGUGCAAAUGGGUAGAAGUUGUUUCUGCUACCAGAAGAAAAGAACUUUGCUUCGCUUUGGUUUUGGUUUGGGAUAUUUGCUGAGUUGAGUUGUGUAGCGAGAAUGGAGUAUAUAUAGCCUUAGGAUGGGCAUCUGAUGACGUGCGAGUGUACGUGAUGAGAAGUGUCAUGUCAUGGUUAUGGCACACCCCUCUUGACCAAAGAAACAGACGCACAGUUUCUUUCCAUGUGCUAAUUCCUGCCCCUUUCUUUUUCUUUGGUAAAUCAUAACAAUUAUUUUGUAAUUUAUAAAAAUUAUAAAAGUUAAAUUCCAACGAAAUAAAUGCUAUAACUUAUAAAAGGGUAUUGGAUGAUUGUAAAAAAUAGAAACUUAAAAAGCAAGAGUAAAAAAAGUUAUGUAUAGAAAAAAUUUAAAUAUGAAGAAAAUUACACAUUUUAUGCAGAGAAAAUCUUUUAUAAUUUCAAAAAUUAAUAAUGGAUAUACCUAGUGCCUAGUCUAGUCUAGAUGAUUAAUUUAGCUACUCGAUGAAUUACAAAAUUAUUUUUUUAUAAUUACAAAAGUUUUUCUGUAAGUGCCAAAGUGAUUCCAAACAUCGUCGUGCAUGAGACAUCAUAUAUUCCUCACUGGAUGGCCGCCGCAGGGCUCCACAAGCCGUCAGCAGCCAAAGAAUGACCCUUGAAUUUAUGCACACUCAGUAACAUAAAAAAGUCAAUUUAUCCCAUAAUUAAUUUGGUCAUCUCAAUAUAUAUAAUAUAAUAUAAUAUAUAUAUAUAUGUAUAUAUAAAGGUUCAAUUUAAUGCAUUCCGACCAUAAAGCGUACUAGAAAAUCUUGGGCCCAUUUUAUCUGCUUUUGAACUUUUGUGUGUGUUUUUUUUAAUUAAUAAAAACGAAAAUGUUUAUAUAUUUCUUUAGUAAAUCUAACAAAAGUGCAAAUAAGAUGAUGGGGACAUAAUCUUCUGGAAAAUGAGUAAAAAAUAAGACUGUUUGUGCAUCCAUUAUUUAUUUAAUUAAAUAAUAAAUAGAUAAAAGUCAUGUUUAGUUUGUUCUAGGGUUCUAUAACUUAUACUUUACUUUUGGAUUCUAAAGUAUUAAUUUCUUGUUUUUUUUUAUUUGUAGAAAAUCAAAAUUUUAUUUUUUUUGUUGGCAUUAAUUAAUAGAAAUUAUUGCAAUAGUAAGCGUGGAUAACCAACUGAAACUCCUGCUAGACCCACCCAGAUCCAAACCAUAUAGAAGCUAAUGCCACAACCAAAGCCCUCAAACCGACCACGCCCCCAGGCAAAACUACCGGCGCAGCGGCAGAGCUGUUCGAUGUAUGGUUGGCAACGGGUGAGGCAGCUGGUGAAGGCAGUGGAUGGACAAGGACAGAAACCUUCAUGCCAUUGAAGCACUGGCCAUUCCCACAAAUGAAGCGGUACCUCUUGGACUCAUUGAGAGGUAUAAAAUCCUUGCCACUGCUCCAGUUUCCUAGUGCUCCUUCUGUUGUGCAGUUGUCAUACCCAGUUUGGUUCACUUCAAACACGUUGUAUUGGUUCUUUUGGUACCUAAAGGCUGGAAGGAAAGACAGAGUUGAUGAUGGUAUUAGACCAAGGACCCUCUGCUUAUGUCAGCCUCAAAAUACAAAGACUAGAUGCAAUAUAAACAUUCACAAAUAAAGGCAGUCAAAUCAGAAAGCAGAUUCAGGACAGAUGGGUACUUUCGUAUUACCCCGAAAUCAAUGUUUUGCACUUCAUACUACCCAUAAUCAUUUAGUAGUGUUUAACUUAGAAAACCCACCGUUUCCUUCAUUUCUCUGAAAGACAAGAAAAUGAAAUGGUACAAAACUACAAAUACAAACGCAGAUGGUUAGAGAGAGAGAGAGAGAGUACAGAUGAGGUCUCCAACAUAGAAGGUGUGGUUGUUGGCCCAAAGGGUGUAGUUGAUGCCAGGGUUCCAGCCUUUGUUAGCACCGACAAUGUGGUCAGUGGCGGUGACAGUGCCAAAGAUUAGAACGAAGCACAACAAGAUAAGCUGAUUUGAGGUCGAAUUCAACAUUCUUUGGCUCACUUGUUGGUGUUUAGCAGUUAGCAGUUUGGUUUGGUUACCCUCUUUUGCUUCGCUCUUCUUUCUGAUUUCUGUUUUUUGGGGGGGGAGAACGAACAAUUAUUGUGAGGGACUCAAAGAUAAUUUUGAGUAAUGUGGGUGAACCGUGGGUCCCCUUCUUACCCGUUGGGUUUGAAUCCAAAUGUGACCAACUUCAUUUUCUCCAAUUUUUUAAUCCCGGAAAAUCAUUUCCAUCACAACAUGGAAUCUUUGCUCCAUUAUUUCAAUCCAAGGUGGAACCCAAAGCUGAAGCACACUUUUAAUUGCCGGUGCCAGGUGGUCCCUCCCAUUCUGGACCUUCAUUCGUGGGCUUCCCUUUUAGGGCCAUUAAGCCCAUCUCCCUCUGAAAGGUAGGCAUUUGACUAUCCAAUCUUCAUAAUGGGUCUCAUGUGAGCGCAAGACUUGUUGUAGGGCCGUAGCCUUUACCCCAAUAUGGAUUUGGUUGGUUUCAAUGUGUAGAGCCUUAUUCUCUAAUUUUUUUAAUUGUUUUUUAUCUCUCUCCAAUUCUUUUUUUUUUUUUUCAUUUAGAUUAGAUUGGACAAAAUUAUGCAAUUUCAAGAACAAUGGUAAUUAAAAGUUUCUACUUUCACUCUAAAUUUUCUUCCAUGAGUUCUUCACCUUUGUAAAUAUGUAUAAAAAUUGUUUAUCUUAUUUUAAUAUGCAACGAGAAAUAUUUUUAUUUCGUAUCAUAACUUUCACUUGUUCACUUAUAAUUUAAAUUUGAGAAUUUUAAAAUAAAAUCUUAAGUUUUACAGUUGAAUGUGUUUUUCCUUGUUAACUUAACUUAAUUGGAAUCAAUUUUCACUGUUUUAGCACGAGGGCGACAAGGUUUUGUCAAGUUUUUUAAAUGGCUUAAACCCUACUACUUAUAAAUAGCAAAGGAGAAGAAAAAGAAAAGGAAAAAGCAAAGAGCAAAGGAAUAAGUGACGGGCAUUGCCAAAUGCCUUUUUUAUUUGACAAAUGAGGUACAAAGCUCAUAAAAGAUGAACGAGUUUGGAUUAAAAUCCAGAAGACUUCAUGAAUCACUUAAAGAAACCCAUAGCCUCUACUAAUUACUUGAUAAUUGGCACUGGGAUUUUACUAGUAAUACCGCAUGUAUUGUGAUACACAUGAUUUUAUCACUAAGAAAAAUGAAAAACAAAAAGAAACAUACAUUCCUGGAAUUCAACUGGACUAAUGAUUGUUAUCUCCUGCUGUGAACUUAAGCAUCGCCAUUGGCUUCAAGAAACGGGUAAUCAGUGUAACCAAUGACUGGAUCUGAGGUGUAGAAAGUUUUUCUGUCAUACUAAUUAAGAGGGGCAUUAAGCUCAAAUAACCUUGGCAAAUCAGGAUUUGCCAAAAACAAUCGACCAUAAGCAACCAGAUCCGCACGGUUUUCGGCUACAGCUUUGUUUCCGUCUUCUUUGGUGUAG
rnacentral:lncRNA from 1 species